ACGCUCGACACCUACGGGGGGCAGCAGUGGGGAAUAUUGGGCAAUGGAGGCAACUCUGACCCAGCAACGCCGCGUGAAUGAUGAAGGUCUUCGGAUUGUAAAGUUCUGUGACGGGGGACGAACACAAUGACGGUACCCCGAUAGCAAGCCACGGCUAACUACGUGCCAGCAGCCGCGGUAAUCUGAGGCGGGCUGGCAAGGC
rnacentral:rRNA from 1 species